GUUUCCAUGCCCGGAACCCUGUCUCCUCUGUUCCUUGGAAUUAGAAUGACGUCCCUGUGACAAUGCCCACCCCAGUCCUGUGGGUCCUGGUGCUAAGACUGCUGGGGGUCCCACCACCUGGUGAUGUGUCGAAUGCCGUGAGUUCCUCAUUUAGGAGCGUGGUUGCCAGGGCUGCCGAUGGCUCCAGGCUGGGCUGCGAAUCCCCCAACUAGAGCACAGUUUGCUGUGUCGGGACGGGUGUUCGUCAGAGAAAUGGCGCUUGAAGAGCUGUGGGACAUUUGUGUUGAACGUGUUGGAAGGCCUGGGAUGCAGCCCACAUUUACCGGCUGGGAGACCAAUGCCAGGCAUUUAAAUGGUAACAACUGCUACAUCGUUCUGGUCGCCAGCCAUGGCUGGCAUUGGGUGAAUGCCCAGUGCCUGUCUCAGUGCCCGAGUAGCCAGCCAGGAGCAGGUGCUUCUGAGGUUAUUGCCAUGACACAGAACAACGCCCGGCGUGAUUCCACGACAGUGGAUUUCUUGUCUCACUGGAUUCCUUGCUGCUCUGGCAGAGCAUCCCCGCUGGAAGAAGGGCUGCCGUUUGGAGGACCUUCAUUUUGUGAGCAGACUAUUUAUUGAUAAUACAUCUGUAAGAAUGUAUAUCUGCGAAUAAAGGCACUGCGCAGGUUUCUGUCUCUUUGGGCCGAUGCAGUUUUCCCUGUCCCAGAGCCUGGUGCACAUCGUUGUGGUGUGAUAUUUGGAAGCAGAACGAGGAUGGUGAAAAGCAUCAUAACGGCACCAUCAGCACCUUGUGACCAGAGGGACACCCGCCCUCAGCACAGGGACUGGAAUCUUCUGCAGAACAUACACACGUCCUGCUCUGAAAGGAAAACGCAUUGGGGGAUGUGCUCCUCCUGGUCUCUAAAACCCUCUUGAAUUCAGUCUUCUGUUACUUCCUGAGGGGACAGAACUUGUCCAUUCCGCUUCUUUGCCCAUGGCUGAGUGGACACCUCAUUAACUUUCCUUCUGUGAAUGUGAGGCGCCCCUUCCAGAGCCCACAGACAGCUUUGUUUCCACAUACCUGCCGCCUGCCUUACGAGACCCCAAAUCAAAAUGAAGUAAAUGAAAUCAUUUGAGAUGCUAUUGCUUCAUUUGUCACUUUAAAAAAAAAAAAGAUUUAUAUAUUUAUGCAUACAAGAACUGGGGCACAGGUCAGAGGUGUGGGGGUGAGAGGACUCACCAGAGACACAGUGGGGAGUAGAACAGGCAGACUGACUGA